rnacentral:rRNA from 1 species
CCUACGGGAGGCAGCAGUGGGGAAUAUUGCGCAAUGGGCGAAAGCCUGGCGCAGCGACGCCGCGUGGGUGAUGAAGGCCUUCGGGUUGUAAAGCCCUGUCAGGUGGAACGAAUAUCGCUCCAAGUGAACAGCUUGGAGUGAGGACGGUACCACCAGAGGAAGCCCCGGCAAACUACGUGCCAGCAGCCGCGGUAAUACGUAGGGGGCGAGCGUUGCUCGGAAUUACUGGGCGUAAAGAGCGCGUAGGCGGUCAAAUAAGUCAGGCGUGAAAUCCCUCGGCUCAACCGAGGCUGGGCGCUUGAAACUAUUGGACUUGAGUUUAGGAGAGGAGUGCGGAAUUCCCAGUGUAGCGGUGAAAUGCGUAGAUAUUGGGAGGAACACCGGUGGCGAAGGCGGCUCUCUGGACUAAUACUGACGCUGAGGCGCGAAAGCUAGGGGAGCAAACGGGAUUAGAUACCCCUGUAGU